rnacentral:rRNA from 1 species
AGAGUUUGAUCAUGGCUCAGGACGAACGCUGGCGGCGUGCUUAACACAUGCAAGUCGAGCGGAAAGGCCCUUCGGGGUACUCGAGCGGCGAACGGGUGAGUAACACGUGAGCAAUCUGCCCUUAGCUCUGGGAUAGCUCCGGGAAACCGGGAUUAAUACCAGAUACGACCACUUUAGACAUCUGCUGUGGUGGAAAGAAUUUCGGCUAGGGAUGAGCUCGCGGCCUAUCAGCUUGUUGGUGGGGUAACGGCCUACCAAGGCGACGACGGGUAGCCGGCCUGAGAGGGCGACCGGCCACACUGGGACUGAGACACGGCCCAGACUCCUACGGGAGGCAGCAGUGGGGAAUAUUGCGCAAUGGGCGAGAGCCUGACGCAGCGACGCCGCGUGGGGGAUGAAGGCCUUCGGGUUGUAAACCCCUUUCAGCAGGGACGAAGCGAAAGUGACGGUACCUGCAGAAGAAGCGCCGGCUAACUACGUGCCAGCAGCCGCGGUAACACGUAGGGCGCAAGCGUUGUCCGGAAUUAUUGGGCGUAAAGAGCUCGUAGGCGGUCUGUUGCGUCCGCUGUGAAAUCUCGGGGCUUAACCCCGAGCCUGCAGUGGAUACGGGCAGACUAGAGGUAGGUAGGGGAGAAUGGAAUUCCCGGUGUAGCGGUGAAAUGCGCAGAUAUCGGGAGGAACACCGGUGGCGAAGGCGGUUCUCUGGGCCUUACCUGACGCUGAGGAGCGAAAGCGUGGGGAGCGAACAGGAUUAGAUACCCCUGUAGUCC